AACUACCUCAUGUCCAUGUCCACGCAGAUCUUCUCCGGCCACCUCGGCAACCUCGAGCUCGCCGCCGCCUCGCUCGGCAACACCGGCAUCCAGAUGUUCGCCUACGGCCUCAUGGUACGUAUACGUUCGUUCGAAUCCCUCGGAUAACUACUGCAUAGCCGGCCCGUUUAGUUUCUUUGGCGCAAUAGUCUCCGGCCGCUCCGUUGGUAGAGCGAAAAAAUGUUUUAACUAACCUGUCAAUGCGCCACUAGUCUGUUGUUUGUGGGAUGAAUCGUCAAGGACAGGGCCGGCACGUGAAACGCGGUUUCUUUUCUUUUCUUUUCUUUUCUGAAAUCUACUUUGAACGCCUAUCUCGGAUCACUGGCAUACCCAAGUUAUGUCAGUUGGACCUAACCUGGACCGUUCGGAUCAGAUGCUCCAACGGUUAGAUGUUCUGUAGUCCCCGGGCUGAGGCCCACAACUUGUACACGUGUCCUCGUCAAAAAAAAAUUAGUGCUGCAAAACAAAAAGUGUCAGGUGGCCGUGGUCUUGUUACGAUUAAAUCAACGGUCGAAAAUGACCAGCAGACAACAGAAGAGGAUGCUGUUAUAGCUUUGGCAUGGUGGAGGGCCGGCUUCUGGUAACGUCCUCCGGGACUCGUCCCCCUUGUAUUGGGCUCUAUUCCCUCCUAUUCGUAAAACGUGUCACCCAUUUGAUAAUUUAGUAUAAAAUUUAUACUUCUAUCCAUAUUACCUGUCGAAAUAUUACAUGCCAUGCAUCUAUAUGUAUUUUAAACAUAAAUACAUCAAUAUUUGGACAAAUUUGAGACAAGUGAUCUGAGGAGGUAGAAUGUUUCCUUGUUUUUCGGGUGGCAGCCCAUUUUUCUCUUCUGCUCCGCCCGGCCUGUUAGCCGCCCGCCCGUCCCAUCGGGCGGCCCCGCUCGGCUACCCGAGCCCCCACCAAAUUAGGGUUUCCCCCAGGUGGCGACGGCGGCUGGGGGCUGCUAGGCCAAGGCCCAGCGGCGGCGGCGUGCAUGGGGUGGCGCAGGGCACCUCCGAGGCGGCCCGUGCUCGCGCCAUAGGGGCAUCAGCGGCGGCAGAGCUCGUGCUCAUUGGCGGCGAUGACAGCACAUGCGCUUGACGGUGCCAUUGGCGAUGCUCGCGCCCGCAGGCAGUAGUAGUGAUGGUGCUCAGAUGGGAAAAAAAUUGGGGCGGCACGGCUCGCUGCCAUUCAUGGCUUCGGUGGCUAGCUGUGCGACACUCAACCGUGUGGUGCGGUCUCCCCCAUAGGUUGGUCAACAAGACCCUUUGUGCGGCGGGAUCGAUUGGCAAUUGUGUCGGCGAUUUGGUCUCCAAGCAAACCGCGAGGAAAAUCCAACCAUGGGGCAGAAGAUGAUAAAAAAAAAUAAGUAAUCGCAAAAACGGAAAUUAGAAAUGACAACGACCGCAGUUUUUGCAAUAACAUUGAGAUUCAAUACCUCUGCAAUUGUGACGAGAGCCUGCUUGGGGUAGGCUCGGUGAAGGUUCGGGGCAGAGUCACGUGCUGAUAACGUGUUGUGCAACCUCUGUACGCUGGUCGGUCACGGGGUUGCAAACCAAGAUUGUAGUCGAAGAUAGUAUAGUAAAGUAAAUCACAUAGGAAGGUAGAGAGUAACAUGAACUUUUAUUAAUCUUUCUCAACUCAACAGUAUGUACAAAGGUAUACCUCCUCUCCUUUAUAUAACCUUAGGUGGAUAAGGGUCCAACUAACGUUUACUUUGGAAAACAGUCCAUGAGAAGGAGGGGGGCGUACGAUGCGGUAGCCCCUAUAGCCCCCAACUCCCCUUCGAUCUCGGUUUACAAGAGUUUAUCGUACGCCCCUCUCCUUCUCUCGUGGACAAUUUCUCCCAUGUGGACGUUAAUUGGAUCCUUAUCCACCUACCUACUGGACUAUAUAAAGGAGAGAAAGCAUACCUUUGUACGUAGCGUUGAGUUGAAAAAGAUUAAUAAAAUCUCAUGUUCCUUUCUACCUCCUCGUGUAAUUUACUUUCUCGUACUCGCCUUCAAUUACAAUUUUGGUGUGCAACCCUGGGACCGAUCAGCCUGCAGAUAUUGCGGAACAAGUUAUCAGCACAUGACUUUGCCCCUAAGCCUUCACUGAGCCUACUCCAAGCAAGCUCUCGUCACAUUAACGGUGGUAUUGUAUCUCAAAUUUUAUUGCAAAAAUGGAUUCGUUGUCGCACCUAGUUUUCGUUUUUGCGAUUAGUUUACUUUUUCAGAUCAUUUCUAUUUUAUGGUUGGAGUUUCAUCGCGUGUGACUUGCUAAGUCGCCGACACAGUUGCCAAUUGAUCCUGCCACACAAAGGACUUGUUGACCAACCUAUGGGAAAACGGUGCCAUGCCGUCGAGCGUUGCACCACCGGCCACCACAGCCAUGAAUGGCAGCCACCAGCUAGCCGUGUCGCCCAUAAUUUUUCCCAUCGCGAGCACCGCCAGCUUCCAGGCACGAGCGCCGCCGCUGCUAAUGUCAAGCGCCUGCGCUGCCAACGCCACCUCGUGCGUGAGCUCUGCACUGGUGCGCACCGGCAUAGCGCGAGAGUCUAAGUUAUCCCUGACGCUGUCGAAUGUUCGCACCAUUUGGGCAGCCAGCAUGAUCCUAGCAUCUUCUGAUGAAAUCUAUAAAAUAAACAAAAUACUUCCUCUGAUACUAAAUUCUUGAUUCAAAUUUGAUCAAAUAUGAAUGUAUCUAUUUUUAGAAAACGUCUAAAUGCAUAUAAUAUUUUGAUAUUUAGGAUCGGAGAGAGUACAUUAGUUUUAGGUACGAUGAUUAGACGCAUAGUUGCCACGUUCUGCAUCACUGACUCACUGUUAAGAUGGAGACGGUCCAGACGGAGAUAGAGAUGUAGCCUACUCCCCCGCAAAAAAAGAGAUGUAGCCCAAUCCUUAUUUCUUGGGGCACGGAAAUGUAGCUAAGUCUAUAUGUACGGAAGGAAUAUUGAGUUUUCUCACUCUGAACAUAGAGAAACACAUGUGACAUGUGACAUGUCAGAGCGUUUCUUCGGAUUUAAUUUCGUGAGUGAUUAAAGGCCAGCGUCCGGGUCAGUCCAUUUCCAUACUGGUACAGCCUACCAGGCUACCAACAACCAUCCUCGCUGCCAAAUACGUGAUAUUCGUAUCUUUUGGCAAUACGAUUGCAAACUUAUAGUUUACUCUUUGCAAUACGCCGCCGUAAACGCUAGUACUUUCCACAUCCAACAAAAGAUGUAUUAAGUUUGUCAAAAUUUGAAUGUACAUUAGACAUGACUUAGUGUAUAGAUGCAUUCAAAUUUAAUUAAAAUUAAGACAUCUUUUGUUGGACGGAGGAAUAUCUAAAUUCUAGCCACCUUUUAAAUUUGUAAAUAGAUAGAACAAGGUCGAUGUAAAAAGUUUAAGAUAUAGCAAGGCAUAUUGUUGGCGACGAUCAAUUUGUCGAGCAUCCUAGGCUGUUAGAUUUUUGAUUUCUUUUUUUUUAAGGUCCAGCAACAGCUGGCUUUCCAUGUAGUAGUGAGGAUUUUUUUUAUUUCUUCCAUGUAUUCGGGCCUAUGAUUAUAUGCUUUUGGUGUCGCAAAUUUCAUUGUCAUCUAAGAUUUUUUUUAGUUAUGUCAUAAGUUAGCCCCUUCCUUCGUUGGUUCUUGGGUCCGCCAUUGGAGUAUAACUAGCUUGAGAGGUGAAAGAAAUUUCGUUGGAGCUUCUUCAUUGUUUAGUUUUACAUUGUUCCUUGGAUGUUUAUUGUAUAUUUUUGGUAUCUGAGUUGGCAGCAAAGUAUAAAAGUUGUCUCUCAACUCGAAGUUGUAUACAUUUGACCUCUGAAUUAGCGAAACUGAAUACAGUCUUCUUGCACAUUUUACCUACCUAAUACUCCAUAUAAAUUUGUAUCUUAUUAGGAAAAUAGACUUUCAUAUUCGAAAAAAUAAUAAAAUAGAAAGUGUCUGUUUAUCAUUCGACUUAGAAACCAUAACCAUCCAAUAAAAUCAUCUUAUCUUUUGAACUCUCUCCGUUUUUUAAUUUUUGUCGUUAUUUUAGUUCAAUUUGCACCAAAACAACGACAAGAGUUUAGAAAUAGAGGAAGUACUUGCGUAAAUCUUGCACUUCGCGAUUCGAUCGAACAAUGUUAGCAUCUACUUAUAGAAAUAGUUAUUUCUGGAUCACAUUAGAAAUAGCGAAACCAAAAUAGUUACCUAGGACCGCCGGUAACACACUUAAAAUAAUUUUAGAACCCAGAUCCGCAUUUUCAUACUAUUAAAACUUAGAUGACACCAUACAAUACUUUUAGAACCCGCAGUCCAUUUAACUCUACGGGAUACUCCCUCUGUCCCUCAAAUGUAUAUUGUUUCCUUUGACUAAAGUAGUUUCUUAAUAUAUAUAUUUUGUGAAAUAAAUUUUUUAUAUCAUUUCAUUCAUAUUCAAAAUUAUAUAUUUGUGAUUUGUACUACUUCCGUCCCGUAUUAAGUGACAAAAAUAUUACAUGUAUAUAUAUGAUUUUUGGGUAUAUACAUUCGUAUUGAGACAAUAUCGCGUCACUUGAUAUUGAAGUGAUGGAAUAUCACGUAAGCCUAACCGAGGGAUUAUUAGAUUUCUCAACAGCAGAUGUUGCUCGCGCCGCCGUCCGCCAUGUUUCAGGCCGCCGCCGCCCUCCUGGCAAGCCGCGGCCGCGCCCGUUCUCGCCCUCGCCGCGCGCCGUCGCGCCACCCUCGCCCUCGCCGUGCGCCGCGGCCGCCUCCUCGACGCGCGUCGCCGCCGUGCAGCUUCUCCCAGCCCCCGCUGCCGCGCCCUCCUCGCUGCGUGCCGCUGCCGCCCUCCUCGCAGGACCGCCGCUCUCCUCGCUGUGUGCCGCCGCGCCCACCUCCGCGGGGCCAUCCUCUUCCAACCCGCGCCGUCGAUACCCUCCUCUGCAAGGCCGCUCUCCUCUCAGUCCGCUCCGUUGGCUUUUCUUAGAUUACGUUUUUGUCCUACCGUAUGGAUACUCUGUACCUAGUGUUGGAGUAUUUUGGAGUAUCAGUUCAUCUGAGCCUUUGGAUUAAGAAAACAGACGGUUCAUAUUAAUUCUGGGCUACUGCAAAGGAGCUCACUUUGGUACAUUGGUACAUUAUGUCGACCCUAGUCUGCAUUCAGUUUAAAAAUAAUACGGAGUAAUAGUUGCAGCCAGAAUCAUUAUAAUUUCUUUCCUCAAUGUGCUUGUCAAUACAAAUUUUUGUUUCUGAACUAGUAGAAUAUAUGGUUUCGUGACAUUAACAUAUAUCCCGGGUUUGCAGCUGGGCAUGGGUAGUGCAGUGGAGACUCUCUGCGGACAAGCCUACGGCGCACAAAAGUAUGACAUGCUCGGAGUUUACUUGCAACGCUCUGCCGUGCUCCUCAGCUGCACCGGCAUACCGCUUGCGGUGAUCUACGCCUUCUCUGAACCAAUCCUCCUGUUCCUGGGACAGUCACUAGAGAUUGCCCGUGCCGCGUCGAUUUUUGUAUAUGGCCUGAUACCCCAGAUCUUUGCCUACGCUAUCAACUUCCCAAUCCAGAAGUUCAUGCAGGCGCAGAGCAUUGUCCUGCCGAGCUCUUACAUUUCAACGGCAACGCUCGCGCUGCACGUGUUGCUGAGCUGGGUUGUCGUCUACAAGGUUGGGCUGGGGCUGCUUGGUGCCUCGCUGGUGCUGAGCCUGAGCUGGUGGAUCAUCGUCGCGGCGCAGUUUGCUUACAUUGUCAUGAGCCCGACUUGCCGGCAUACAUGGACGGGGUUCAGUUCGCAGGCGUUCUCUGGGCUGUGGGAUUUCCUUAAGCUCUCAGCAGCAUCUGCAGUGAUGCUGUGCCUUGAGGCAUGGUAUUUUCAAAUCCUUGUCCUCAUUGCCGGCUUGCUCCCCAACCCUGAGCUUUCCUUGGAUGCUCUCUCUAUAUGGUAAGUACCAUUAGUAUUUUAAGUCUUACUGCUGUAACUAGUAACCAUAGUUGGUAGUGGUACUGACUUACUCUGUGGCUAGUGCAGUAUGACAAUUUCUGGCUGGGUGUUCAUGAUUUCAGUAGGAUUCAAUGCCGCUGCAAGGUUAGCAGUCAACGAUUUAAACUGAAUGACUUGAGAACACUGGCAUCUUAGCAAGGGAUUAAUAACUGAUUACUGUUAACUAUUGAAUAUUUUCAGCGUAAGAGUGAGCAAUGAGAUUGGUGCGGGCAACCCGAAGUCAGCAUUUUUCUCAGUUUGGGUCGUGACCGCGCUCUGUGCAAUUAUUUCUGUAAUCUUUGCAAUUGCGAUCCUCUGCCUUCGCAACUACAUCAGCUACUUGUUCACGGAGGGGGAAAUAGUCUCAAAUGCUGUGGCGGAUCUCUGCCCGCUGCUUGCCACCACGCUCAUUCUCAAUGGCAUUCAACCUGUUCUGACAGGUAAAAUUUCAGAAAGUUGCAUCUGACCAUGUGUUAUCUUCAUUCUUUAGUAAUUCAUUAGUACAACGUCCAAAACUAUGUUUCUAUAAUGUGUUCAUGUCUACUUUAUUUUUCAAACAGCUGGGGCAGGAUGUAUCCCCAUCCCUGUUUCUGUUUUCUCUCCAAUUCCCCAGCUAGGAUGAUUUCAUUGAGUGUUAGACACUGGAGAUGAUUAGGAUUCAUUUCUCAAAUAUGUAAUUUCUAUCUUGUAAACCAAUCGCUUCGAGAAAAAAAACUUUUAAACCCAAUAUAUAUUUUCAUUGAAGUUGUUGAAUCUGUAGACGUACCAAGUGGUAAGAUUACAUUUAAAUCGAAAGAAGUCACUAUUGACAAAUGAUAAACACUUAUAUUAGAAAACGACUUUCAAUUUUUACAUAUUCAUAUUAGUAUAAUGCACUCUAUGUAAUACGCUGUGAAUAUACAGCAACUACUGGGGGCAACAGUAGCGUAAUAGGUUGUCAUGAACCAAGUUCACGACAUGGAGGAUAAUGGCUUUAGGGCCUGUACGAGGUGACCCUGGACCCAAGAGACGUGACGGCGCCAUGAAAGGCAGCCGCACCUCAAGGGCAGGGAGGAGGUAUAACUAGAUUGGUUUGUUCUUACUUGCCUCAUAACGAUUAUAGGGGGGCCUUUAUAUAGGGAAGACUCGACUUGACAUCCAAGAAACUAAUCUCUACUUUCGUAACAAACCAUAUCUCUACUUUCCUAAAAAACCAUAUCUCAAUAUUCCUAUCUCGUGCCUAACUAAUUUAGGAGAUGCUAAUGGGAUAUUGUCCCUUAUUUGGAUACCUAGGGCUGUGCCCCUAUAGAGAUGUAUGCCCAUGACAUAGGUCUACACUUUAUUCAGGUGCACAGUCCUUGUCGUUUAUGGUCGAAUUUUGCCAACUAAACUGGAAGCCAACCGCGGGCAAACAAUUAUGUCUAUCAUCUUCUAAGAAGCAUAUGUUCACUGUUGUGAUAAUAUGGUGAUAGUCUGCUUUACUAACAUGCAUAUAAAUAUCAGGUGUUGCCGUUGGAUGUGGAUGGCAACAGUUUGUUGCUUAUGUGAACAUUGGCUGUUACUACGUCGUAGGUGUUCCCCUUGGUCUCGUUCUCGGUUUUGUCUUCAAGCUUGGCGUAAAGGUGAUGGAUUUAAUUGGCAGCAAAUAGUUCAUAUAUCCUCUAUCAUGCAAAAUUCUUCAGGUGUUAUCUAACAUCUAUUUAUUUAUGCAAUGGUAUAUCUUCGACAGGGCAUUUGGGGUGGCAUGAUCGGAGGGACGGUAAUGCAGACUGUGAUUCUGCUAUGGGUCACCAUCAGAACUGAUUGGAACAAAGAGGUAUUUCAUUUUUCAUUUCCAUUUUGUGCCAAGGCAGCAAUUAUGAAAAAUGCAGUUCACUAACUGAUGAGCCAAGAUUCAAGCUCCCUUUCUCUGUCACCAUAGCUGUUGCCAUAAAUGUAGUUAAUAGAUAUCUUGUUUACUCCAAGUCUUCAAUCAUGUGAGCUGAUAAGAUUUGGAACAAAAUUUUACAUUAGUGUCAAACUGUGAAUAGACAUAGGGAAAAAGAUUGAUUGAUAUGUAAUGGCAUUUUUUUUCUGUUUGUUUCUUUUCGGAUAACCUUCAGGUGGAAGAAGCACAGAAAAGAUUGAGCAAGUGGGAGGGUUCAAAGGAGCCCCUUCUUGCAGGUGACAGGAACGACAACUAAUCAAAUGGACCAAUCUACAUGUAUUUCCAAUUCAACGAUCCAGAGUCACUAGCGCUGGCAUUGAGAUGCUCCAGCAGUGGUGCACUGGGAGGGAACGAUUUUAGGUGUCUUGACUCUUAAAUUCUUGAGUUGAUAAACUAUCAUGAAGUGCUUACCAGACUUCAGACCUGCUUUACAUCAAUAACAUCAGGUGAUGAGCAUUUUUUUUCCGUGAAAACAAAAAUGUUCAUGGGCAAGAGUGUACUCAAACAGUGCGAAUUUUGCAAAUGAAUGAUUAGAAGAUUUAGAACCAGAAGUUCAGAACUGAGCUUCUAUCAUUCUUGAUUUAACAAGGUAUCAAGAUAAGUUCUGUUAAUUCUUUUUUGUGAAAUAUUCUUGAAGCUAGGUUUGUAGUGGAAAUUUAGCAUUCGGCUUAGCUGAAAAGAUCUUGGCAAAAACAGGAUCGAUGGUCAUCUGAGCAGUGCAAAGGUGCAAUCAAACUGAUUUCGGCCGUCCUAUUGGAAGUGGGGUCUUGAUCAAACAAGACGCUCCCAUCUCCAGUCUUUCAUGAAAAAAGAACACGCAUGAUCGAGGCCGAUGUUUUGCGGAGGAACUGCCUGUUCGCUAUGUACCUCUGCAUACAUUGCUCAACUGCCAGCCCAUAGAAGACUUAGAGCAUCCUCAGCAGCUUGUGCAUAUGGACCACAUAUGCUAUUUAGACAAUUUGAGGCCAAAAAGUCUCUCCACCAGCUUGUGUAAAAGUAGACGAUGUCUAAAUUCACCUCCACGACGUCCAGAUUUGGACUACCAAGUCACGACGUCCAGAUUUUGACUACCAAGCCACCGUCGGAGGAGGGGAGGGGUGCCACCAUGGGUGAAAGUGAGGGGCGCCGCCACGGGGGAGUCCAACGAGUUUAUAGAUUCGCGCAGCCGGAGGGUUGGGAGAGGCAGGGCCGCCUCCGCCUGGGAGAUGGAGGAGGGCAGGGAGUGCCGCAGCGGGCGAGAUGGAGGAGCGGAGGUGCGCCGUUGCCGGGGGAGGGGAAGGGUAGAGGAGGGGCAGGGGCGCCGCCGAUGGAGAAAGGGAGGGGCGCUGCUGCUGCUCGUGGCUGGUGAGGAAGAAGGGACUGCUGCUGCUGCUGCUGCUUGAGGGAGAUGGAGGUUGGGCCGCCGCCGACGGGAAGAUGGAGGAUGGGCCGUUGCUGAUGCUGCUCCCGGGAGACUGGGAGGAAGGAGGAUAAUUAGUAGAUACUGUUAUAAUAUAGGAGAGAGAAUAUACACAACCUAGAUAUAGACAAGUUGAUGAAAAAUUAGAAAAUGUUGAUAGAGACUUUUUUUACACCAUUGUCUAUAUUUUUAUAUAGACAAGCAAAUCUAUAAACUCUAUAAAGUUGAAGCCCAUUAAGUGCAGUUAAUUUAGCAAGCUCAACAUGCAGUCUAUCCACGUCAUCAAAAUUGUUCAGUACGUUCGAUGAAUAUUUGUACGGCUCAGAUUCACUGGAUGUGGUUCUUUGGGCUGAGAGAAGGAUUGAUCAGGUGGCUUUCUAACUUCCCUUUUUCUUUCUGCCUUGCGAACCCCCACCACGAACUCCUUCCCACCCGGCUCCCCUUCUCCCUACCACCGAAUCAGGCGGCCUCCUCUUCUCUCCUCCAGCCUCUCCACCUGACCAGCUCCGUCGGCUCACUCUCCGGCAACCACCGCCAGCGCCACCUCCAUGUCAGGAGAGCACGGGAUGGGAAGGAGCCCGGCCGCUGCCCUCCUCCCUCCCCUGAGCUAGACGCUGUUGGAUUCGGGCUCCCCUGGCAAGGGCACCGCUGGAUCUCGAGUCCGCCGACCCCGACUUCGCCGGAUCCAUGACAGCCCCGCCGCCGCCCAAGCUCCCCGACCCCGCCUUCGCCGGAUCCGGGCCAGCCCCUCCGCCGGGUAAGGUAUCUCUCCCUCUCUCCCUCUCUUACCCUAGCAGAUGAGCGAGGCCGCCGCCGCCACCGAGGAGACGAAGAGGGCGCCGCCGCUGGCGGGGUCGUGGGAGCUGUCGGCGGAGUGCCGUGUAUCGGGUCAGGCUGUCGUUGGUUCGAGGCCCUUUUGUUGUAUGCAGAUUCAUGAUUUGUAAUUCAUCGAUUUGUGAUUAGUCAUGGAUUUGUGGUUUGUGGAUUCGAUUUGUGAUUUGUUGAUUCCCCAUCCGGACCUAUAGCCUAUUUCUUUUUCUAAUGACGAAAAUGAUAUCAGUGGCGGUGCCAAGCAACAGCCAUUGCUGGGUACCCCUCCAGUGGCCAGUAACACCACCGCCACUGUUGUUGCUGCACCAGUGGCGAGAGAUUGGUGGCGAGUCGUAUGCUCGCCCUAACCAAGUUUUCAAACUGCCACUUCUAUUUUGAUUGUUUAAAUAUCUUUUUCCAUAUCUAUAUUCUAGCUGCAAAUUGUGUGUUUGACGAAUGCAUGUAUACUAUAUUGAGAGAAGAAGAUUACGAUUUGUUGUGUUUUAUGUACGUCUCCUCCAUGUAGGCAUUUGGGAGAAGAAGAUUUCUACAUCCCAUAAUUGACUCCAUCCAGCAAGGCUACUCUGAGUCCUGACGGUAUUUCUUCAGCAUGCCUCCUUUUUCAGUUGUUCUACAUGUUGCAUUGCCCAUUGUUGUGGUUUGCAUUUGUUUGCCAGCAUUAAGCACCUAUCGUACCCACACAGAAUUAUGUUUCCCUCUGUAGCCUAGACCCUUCUUCCAAUAGUGUCUUCUCUUUAAUUUACUCUUCAGCAUGCCUCCUUUUUCAGUUGCUCUACAUGUUGCAUUGCCAUUGUUGUGGUUUGCAUUUGUUUGCGGGCAUUAAGCACCUAUUGUACCCACACAGAAUUAUGUUUCCCUCUGUAGCCUAGACCCUUCUUCCAAUAGUGCCUUCUCUUUAAUUUACAAGUUCCGUCAGCAUUUGUUGCAACAUAGCUCCAUUUGUAAUCACUCUACACAACUAACAAUUGUCAUAUUUUACUCAAUCAGGUACAAGCUUCCUCUAAUAAUUACAAAUGAUACAAAAAGCAUGGAGACAAUUACUUCCACUUUUGUAGCUGAAGAUUUGGUUGAACAGACUGCUCUAGAAGCUUCUCAAAACAUGAAUAUAGAUCCCUCAGACCAUGCAAAUGCUCUGCAAAAAGCCAUUGGCAAACAGUACUUCACCAUAGGAAUGAAUCCGGAGUAUUUUUCAAUAUCUCUAUCAAUUAUGUGCUGAAAAAGAGUUAUCCAAUUGACAAUCUAAACUUCGAUACAUUGUUACCAGCCCCACGGGUCACACCACUACUCUUCUCUAAUACUAUCACAUCACUUGAUUAUUUCUUCUAAUAAACUUGCAUUUUCAGGACAACACAAAGAUAUAUUAUCGCUCCAAGCUGCCACCGACAUGAAUUCAUCUCAAAGGUUUGUCAUCUAAUUUUUUUUCUCCUUUCAAGGUUCUAAGGUCUUACUUUUCCAACUGAAAUUAUUUUGGACAUGCAGCAAUUCCAGUUCAAGUGUUACUAUACCACCAUCUACACAAGAGAAAAUUUAAGACAAACAAUCUGAAAGUCUUUCCCGAACCAAAAUUAGUACUUUUAGUUUCUAAUUUUUAGCAUGAUAUCAGCUCAAGUACCAAAAGACAGGUUGAUUUUGAGCAGAACAAUGGUGAAGAUAUUCAAAGGUAUUCCAUCUGUAUUUUGUUUCCUAUUGCACCAUAAUUUUCCAUAUGAUAUAUAUUGCCAUAUCAUCCGCAGCAAUGCCAAACCUGAUGCUAAUUACGACAAUGUGAACAAGCGCCACAAACAAAGGUAUGUCCUACUUCCACAAUAAGUAAACUAAAUACGUACCAUUUUAAAAGUUUCUAACUUCUCAUAUAGUCUUCAAGAAGAUCCCACCUCUUGACCGAUCUUCUCAGCAACACGAGAUGAUCACUUUCAUCAAAUAUAAAUAAAUACAAGUAAACCUCUAAAUGUCAUCACAUCUGCAAUCUUCUUAUUUUUGGCAACUAUACUCCUCUCUGCCACAUUACUAAAAAGGGAGAGCUGGAAUACUUUUCACAUUGCCAAUUUGAUCAUAUACUUCCAAAUAAACUUUCUGUUUCAAAUAUUCGAACAAGUUUAUGUUUAAAAUACUAACAUGGUUGUUCAUGGUGUAGAUGCAAGUCAAUGUGCAGAGCUGUUGAUGAAUAAGGAUCACACAUGCCCUCCUGAAUGGAUAUGCGCACCUACUGUGCUUCAUGCACAUCCCCCACAUCAGUCAUGAUAAUUACUUCGUUGUGUUUGCGAACUUUUCAAUGAUUUGUGGUGAAGUUGAAUGUAUUUUGCUGCAACAAUAUUACCUGCAACGUAUUAUGUACAUCCUUUUGUUUGCUUUGAGUUACAUGAUGUACUCCUUGCCAAAUAGUUCAGUCUACAUAUUUUUUUGCAGUCGUACAACAAAUUAUUGGUGCAAAAGAUAACUUAUUACAAUAUAAAUAUAUUUUUAUGUUUUCUCUUCAAUCCUUGCGAGUCCUCAUACUCUUAUUUAUCCCUACAAAAUCAUUACGAAUCAAAUGUAAUAUAAUUUUACAUAAUGUUUAUUGAGAUAUUUUGUUUACCGAUUCUAUUUUUCUCUGCAUGACCCGCAGCAACGCGCGGGGAAUCCACUAGUAUACACAAGCUGCUGAGGAUGCUCUUAGUUACCGGGUCCAUUUUCUUUUGCUAUGCAAUCAUUCAAGGAGCAGUGCAAACAUGAAAUAAAACUAAAAUACUGAAUUGAGCUGUCCGAUGCGCAGAAUGCAGUCCCAGUGAUAUGAAAACGAAACACACUUUUUUAAGGGGAGGUCCUACCGUCACAUAACUUCACUUUUGUGAUCCCUGGGCGAACAAGCUUCGUGCUCUCUUCUCCUCCUCUCCCCUUCGCUCCAUCCCUAUCACUACAAGAAAUAUGCUGAUUUUUGACCCUCUAUUUUCGUCACUAAAUCGUCUCUAUUUUCAAUUUAUGACGUUCCUAUGACGAAAAACUAAUCGUCAAAAAGCAAUCGUCGCUAAUGAUCUUUAAUGACCUUUUUGGUGAAAUGGUCAUAAAAGGUUAUGACCAAAUUGGAUCGUCAUAAAUUUAUGACGAAAUAUUUUGGUCACUAUCAGUCCGGCCAGGACACGUAGGAUCUGAUGUGGCAGUCUGAAGUGGCAAGCUUAGUGACGAUAUCAAAUGGUCAUAAUACGAAAUGAGCCCGGUCCAAACAUGCAUAUAAAUGGGCCCAGCCCAACACUUCUUUUGGGCCACGGCCUUUUUACAGUCCAGUUAUUAUAUUUUUCAAACCAUUUCUUUUUUUUUGUUUUUAGGCCUUUUAUAUUUAGUUCAUUUCAAUUUCGAUCCAAAUUAAGUUGGGCCUUGGCCUUUUUACGGACAAGAUAUGAUUUGGUGCGGUCCAUUUAUUUAGGCUAGUGGCCUUUUUCAUGUAUUAUUUUUACAGUCCAUUUAUUUACCCCGGUGAGAGCUGCUGGACCUCUUUGGGGCCAAAUUUAAGCCCAGUUAGAUACAUUUCAAAAAAUACAAAUAUCCCUGUUAAUUCAUCCCAUAUUAAAACGGUCAACCAAUGCAACACAAUACAAAGACAAUAAAAAACAUGACCAUGCGCAUUUCUAAGCCAAUUUUCUGAAUCAUAAGAUAUACAAUUCGAAUUGCCUUAUACAGUACUAAUCAUGGAUCGGACGGAGUAUAAAUUAACAUCUCUUUUACAGCACGACUUGCAAGGAUAGCUGCCUGACGCUGCAACAAAGAAUUUUUUUUUGGCGCCUUGGCAUGUACAUUCCUUCUACAGCAUCGCAUUAGAGAAGCAUCAGUUGUGCGUACGUAAAAUAACAAAUUUAUGAAGCAAGAAGCUCAAGUGGGCAUACAUCUAAAAUAAAUUUCAUGACAGUACAAGCUGAUAGUAUACAACAUGAAAUAAUUAUUAAGCAGAGUCACUAAUAUUGCGGCCUUGCCGUGAUAUGUAUUCAAAUGACACAAUUACAACAGUAUAUGCCAAUGUUAUUUUGAUUAUCUGGUAACUAGAGCAUCAAUUUUCAAGGAUUUAUCAGGUUUAUUUAGCUUCCGUCAGACGUCACUUAGAACAGAGAUAAAUUUCCACAUUCCACAGCCUCUACAGCAAAUAUGUCUUGUAGAGACAUUUUCAUUGAGGCAAUGUACUCUUUGUCUCUACCUAGAGACAAUUUUGAGACAGAGUUUCAUGUAGAGGCAUUCUAUGAGGCGUUAUGGACAAUGUCUUAAAUAUAGAGACACUAGUUGAGACAUUGUGGUGUAGAGAUAUUUUUUGAGGCAUUUAAUAGAUUGUCACAAAACUCAUGUAGAGCAUGGUUUUGAGAUACUUGAGGAAAUGACCUUACGGUAUGAUUAGAGACACGAUUUGAGACACAUAUUAUGUUGUGUAGAGACAUUCUUAGAAGGUUUGAGACAUGUAGCAGACUACUCAUAAUAAUUUCAUUAGAAGUAUAAUCAAGAAUUGGUAUCAGGUUGAGAUGGUUAGUUGAGUGUGUAGUUUUCCUUAAGGUCUUGAGUUUAAGGAUUGGUUUCAACAUGAUUUUUUCAAUGCAUAUUUUCUAGCACAUCACUAUAGAGACACAAUUUAAUGUCUUUAUAAAAUGUCACGUUGAAUGUAGAGACAAUAUAGUGUUUCUAUGAAAUGUCUAAAAAGUAUAAAGACAAUGCAAUGUCUUUAUGAAAUAUCGUAUUGAACGUAGAGACGGUAUGGUGUCUUUAUGCAAUGUCUAAAACAAUAGAGACGUUUUCUUAGUGUCUCAUCACACAUAGCGACAUUGUCCGUAGUGACAGUUUUGUGACAUUGUACCAAGUGUGUCUAAAGUUAUGUAGAGACAAUUAUAGUGUCUCUACAAAUCAAAAAUAGUCUCUACGGGCUAUUUCUUUUGUAGUGAGCUCAUGACUUAUCAACACAACAUACCAUGAGUCGAAAGUAAAAUUAAUCCAGAAUAAAUGACAUCAGUGCGAAAAAGAGAUAUUCUCUAUACAAGAUGUAGUUAAUCAGUUUCAGUUAAACAUUUGAUAGACAACAAAAUUUCACUCUUAUGAAAGUAUUCCUCAGUUUUCUUGCUGGUAUAAUUCAGAGAAAAGUGUAUGCAUGGUACGGAAUGGUAAUAAUAAUAAGAGGCUACCAUUAAUAAAAAUCAUAAGGUGAUCAUAGUAAAGCACUACUAGAAAUAUACUGAUUUGUAACAUCCUAGCAAGUGAGUAAUAAACGAUCACAGUAAAGCACUAGUAGAAAUAUGCUGAUUUGUACAGUACUUUCUGAAACAAAAACAGUCAAGUGUCUGUGCAUUGCUAUGAAAAAACAAGUAGAAACAUGAAUUACUAUUGAUCAGAUGGUCCAUUUUGCGGUGGGCGCGAGGUCAUGUUGUUUCGACAGUAGACGUAAUAUCUUUGACAUCACUUACCUGUGAACCACCAGUUGCUGAAUGUGCAUGCAUGUCAUAUGUAGAAAUACCCCUCCAUGCUCUCCAAAUCGCGAGAUUCUUCAGUUCAGAACGAGAAUAUGGCUUAAUACAUUCACUCACUUGGUCAACCAUCAAACUGAACAAUACUUGUUUAUCUGUACAACGGAACAAGCCUACAGGCUGCUCUUACUGCAGAAUCUUCAACCAUCAAACAUGCAAGCAGCAGUAGUACUCCUGCCGAACAUGACCAAAAUCAGAAGUUUCAAAUGAUGGUCAGCAUGCAAAUCAAAAGAGCUAAAAAGAUCACACAGCGUAGCAGCUAUGAAUGAUAGCUUUUAAUGUACACAUAGACAAAGAUCAAGGAAUUUGUUGCAACAAAAAGGAUUCCAGAUUGAUGUUUCAUGCCAUAUUAUCGUCAAGCAAUCCAUGGUAAUAUACAGAAAAGGAGAAGGUUUGGUGUAUUCAUGCUUUGGUCAUGUAGAAGUCUGAACAGUUCAAACACAACAUGAUAGGUAAUAUUAAUAGCGAAUAGUAUUUCAACCUCCCGUGAUACACCAGUACGUCAUAAUCAUCUAGCAAAACAGAGAGGCUAGCAUUGUUCUAGGACACUGCAUCCAUCUCUAGAGCAAAAUUUCAGUCCCAUUUUACUUUACAAAAGCUAGAACUACAAAGCACGAACAACAAUAAUGGAAUAUAAAGGCUGCUAAAACAGAUAAUUAUACCACCCAAUUUUAUUUAUAGAGCAUAUGUGCAAGAUAUUAGUGCUGGGCGCAGACUAUGUUUAGCGCAUAGACAUAUACCUGAUUGGGAUGAAGUGGAAGAAGAUGAGGAUGGCCAUGCUACUUCACAAGGAAACCCCUUUACGGCCAUCCGAAAAAUUGCGAAAUAUGUUUUCACAUGGAAAUAGCCGAACAUUCUCAGAGACACAACUCACCAUGUCAAAAGGAACCCAUGGACUAGAUUUCAGGCCAAAAUGAUGAUUUUUCAUGCCGGUUUGGCCAAAACAUGAUGCUCAGAGUUGAACUCCAUUGAACAUCUUGGCAGGACAUGUCAUUUUUGUGAAGAAAGCGUUUUCAACUUUCUCCAAAUGAUCUGAAUUUCUUGUGGUAGCAUUCUACACCCCAUAUAUUCCUCCCAUCGAAAUAAAGAUCGGUCCAGAGAGGAUAUGGAUCGAUCCCUUCGCAGUCCCAAUACAAAAGGUGCUGCGGCAGUUUGAUUUUUUUAGUCGAACGCACCCUGAAACCGAGGAUCCUUUUCUUAUAGUAACUGAUUUCUUUUCCUGAAAGAUUAUAAUACCUGACAUAUGGUCCCACAUCCUAGAGUUAAAUUUACAAAUUGUAAAUGCGCCCCACAAAAAGUAACAUUUUUUUUAUUAGAUUUGAGCCUUCAAUAAAAAGUAUUUUAAAUAAAAAAAAACACUCGGCCUGCCGCCAGCUGCAGCACGAGCCAGCCCACAGCCCAACUUGGCCGGCUGCCAGCAGCAACCUCGCCCAGCCCAGCUACCAGCAGCCUCCUGUAAAAAAAAAUUGGAAGCUACCAACAACAGCCUAGCCCACCUUUUUUUUUUUUUGCGGGUGAGCCCACCUUGUUAUUUUAGAGCAGCCUAGCCCACCUCGACUAGCAGCCCCGUAUGCUGCUCAGCCCAGCCCACCUACGAAGCUACCGCAGCCCAGCUGAGUUUCUGUUUAUCUUCUUCAAUCACGCUGGGAAGAAAAAAAAUUCACGCUAGCAGUGGACACACCUUGAAUCGUUCUGUGGUGGUUACGUAGACACGUAGUAGGCGUUUGCUUAUAUUUAAGAUCGGUUGGUCCCACUUGUCAGUUGCGGCCCCCACAGGUUAAAUGUGGCCCGCAUGUCAGUCGAUGGUCCCACUUGUCAGCCGCGGCCCAUAGGGUAAUUGAAGCCCGCGUGUCAGUCUGUGGUCCGGACGUGGCCUCAAGUGACAGAUUUAGGACUCGGUCAACCGUUGGUUCAGGAUCAAUGGGUCCCACAUGUCAUUGUAAUGUUACUCUUGACACGUAAGCAUUGAAUUGACACGUAGACACGACAUGUGAGCAAAAUUGUCGUGGUGGCUGUCCAGCCAUGCAAAUGCUUCAGAUUUUAUAGAGUUAUUAUGACGAUCUAAAAUUGGUCAUAAUCAAUUAGGACUAACAAUUGCUAUUUUGUGACCAUUUCGUGUGAUAGAACUAUGACCUUCUUGAUACAAAUGGUCAUAAAAACUUAGGACUUGGACCCUCAUGAAUACUCUAUGACCAUUUAUGACCAUUUCUCUCGUGGUCAUUAAAAAAAAUCACAAAUCAACACAUUUCUUGUAGCGUAUCCCCCUUUGUAUUCCACAAGCCAAAUGAUCCCAUCUUCAAAGUGCCUGCACUACACUAGCGCCAAGGUAGCCGGGGUUGGGCCGUUUGUCUUGGACCAUGGUCCAUGGGCGCAGCAAACAAAAAGAAACGAGAAUAUUGAAGGCGAAGAAGGGGAAGCAUCAAACAAGAGCAAGGUAAAGAAAGAGGGUUUAAAUCAAGACCUACUAUGUGCUUUCCGAACCAAGAGUUAACUACUGGAGCUAAUAAAAAACAUCAUGUCCCUUAUAUUGUAAUUGAUGCUUAAAUUACCAUCUCGACGCCAAUGGUGAUGGCGCCGCAUCUUACACAUUGAAAUGGUUGCGGCGCCGAGGUCCUGCAGCGGCCUUGUUAGUGUCUCCGUUGACGGCUUCUUAUAUCAGAGCCAUCAUUGUGGAAAUAAAUUGCUUAGCCUGUUUCCAUCAGAUCGAGCUUUUGGUUGAAAUGACUAGCGCGUACAAUUCAGUAUCAUGACCAGCAGAUACAUUCUUGGUACGGCUGACGCCUACUCCGAGUGAUAUGUGAUGUAGUAUAGGUUUAAACGUGAUCACUUGUUUAAUCAAGGGUUAAGCAAGGUCAUGUAGGGAGAAAAAAUCACACUACUUCUUCUAGAUAUAUCCUUCAAAUAUCUGGUCAAUUAUUGACAAAGACAGAGCAAAAGAGGUAGCAAUAUACUUCUUCGGACUUCGGAGUAACUUCCUCCGUGUGGCACAAGCUAGCAGGCACAAAACGUCGAAAAGCUAGCAUGGUGGCACGUAAGAAAUGACGUAAACCCAUCAAUAGCAGCCGAAACACAAUAAUUUGAGGUACUCCUGCUAAAGUCGUCCACCUACCUACCUAUGAACUUGGAAGAUACGACCGGCGUCGCCAAAUACGUCUAUGAACUAAUCGGGCGGUUGCGUCAGCUCUGACCACACCGUUUAUAUCUUCUAGUCGUUUGCAGGAAAAGAUGCGUUUGCGAUUUGUGUCGCUGUUGUUUUGAUAUAGAACGUGCAUGGCACCUAUGAGAACAGAGGAUAAUGUAAUCAAGCAAAUGUUGACUGUUGAGUCUGUCGCGCGGGCGUACGUAUUAGUAGUUUUUUUAGUCACCAAGUUCCAUAUAUGAGCUAGUGAACUUGUUGUUAAUUACAGUUUCGUGCAUGUAGAGUUUGACCUCCACAUGAAUUGUAGAGCUUGACCUCGUGUUGUUAAAUUGUUCCCUCCGUCCAAUAAAAGAUGUCUCUGACUAAAUUUGAAUGCAUUUAUACACUAAGUCAUGUUUAGAUAUAUUCAAAUUGUAAUAAACUUGAGACAUCUUUUGUUGGACGGAGGAAGUAUGUCCGUCCAUGUGUGUUCAUGUAGAGGUUAAGCUCACGUAAAAUCGACGCAUGUGAAACACCUCGGGCAUUACAUUGGUUUAGACAGGUACCUCUUGUAUAAAUAACAUGGAGUAUAUAACAAUCUGAGGGCCAUAGAAAGAGAUGAGGAAUGGUCACUUAACAAAGAAAACUCCAAGUCAGGUCAACCCUGGUUUUGACCAUCCUAAACCGUCCUAAUGACGAGAUUGGCCCGGUGUUACAUGUUGAAGGACGAACUUUGCACAAAAAAUUGUUCGAAAAGGAAGUUGGCACAUACGCAAUAGUUGAUCGAUGAAAUAGCACUUACUCCCUCCGUCCCAUAUUAAGUGUCGAAAUAUGACAUGUAUCUAGACAUAUUUUAUUACCACCUCGAUCCAUAUUAAUUGUCUCAAAUUUGUCCAAAUACGGAUGUAUAUAUGCCUAAAAAUUGUUUAGAUACGUUCACAUUUAGACAAAUUUGAGUCACUCAAUAUAGGAAGGAGGGAGUACUCUUCAAUUUCUUGAUAAUUGGAAUUUUUAGCGGCUUUUUAAACAUUGAUAGUGAAGCAUUAACGGUUCAUCUAGAAUUAUAGAAUAUAUAUUGUGCAAUAAAAUGAAAACUAGAGGCUAGGGGCAAGAAAUCUUGUGAUACAAAAAUUCACGAAGACCAAGAGAAGUGGAUAAAAAAAAAAUCCAUUCCUGUAUUUCUUUUAAAUGACCUAAAUAUGAACUUUGUAAUUGACCUUUCACAAAGAAUUGUUUAAAAAUUGAAGAAUAGAGAAAAUGGCUCCCAAAAUUGAGUUCCAGAAUAAAUUUAGUAUAAAAGUAUGAACAAUUCCCUCUAUAACACUUUGAGCACCACACAGUCCAUGAUAGAGUGAUUGGUCCCUAGAAAUAAAGUAUGAGUAGGCUAUUUUAGUCUUGAUUUGUAUUAUUUAAUUAGUGGCCUAAAUAACAAGGAUAUUUUAGUUUUUUUUAGGAAAAAGUAGAUCAAUGAUCUACUGCAAAUAUAUUGAUAAAAAGAGUAAUAUGUACAAAACUGAUAAUGAAAAAUUAUUGGGUUAGUCUAUCUAAAAUUGUGAAUCCCGUUGCCAAACUAGUAAGGAUACUUUUGUUGGAGAUAUGAGCUGAAAACCUCUAUUUAAUGAAACUUGACACUUUCAAUCAUAAUCAUUCGCUAGCAAAUAAACUGAUCAUAAGAAGCUGAAACCUCUAGUCACUUAAAAGCAAUUUAUGAAAACACUCUACGUGAUUAGAGGUUUAGUUUUUUUCCUUCAUAAGUAUGUGUACAUUUCCGCACAGACAACUUUGCUAUGGUACGCCGACGCAACCGGACAAUCAUUUCCCCGGCUAUUCUAAUGUUCGCAUGACACGGUAAAAGCGACCUAGAAGCCGUACGUAUUCCUCGCAUGCCGGCAGAGUUCCAAAAGAUGAAUCUAGACGUUUCGGUAUUUUCGACAGGUUGUUGUAGCACAGGUGUUACCCGCAUGCCGCCAGAAACAACGAAACAAGCGCGCGUUCCAACCAAUUGCAGCGGCAGCGAAACCAAACCAAACUCCUGCGUUUGUUUGGUAGGAGUACCCCCAAACAAAAAAAAAACCUGCAGGAAAGACAGUGCCACACAAGCUAGCAGCCACAACUCAAUUUCUACUUUUUUCCCCCCCUGGCGGCCGUCGCAACUCGCAAGUUUUUAUAGCCCACACAGACAACGCUGAGCUGUGCGCUCCUCUGUAUCCUGCGCAGCCACAGCCCACAUCGUACAGGGGAGAAAGAAAGAGCGAGAGAGGGACGCAGAACUCGCGCGCGCCCCCAUGGCUGCGGCGGAGGGCAAGCUGGAGAGCCCUUUGCUGACAUCGCUGCAGCCGUCGGCGGGCAGCGGCGGCAGCGAUGGAGGGCACGGGGCGAGCCGGCAGCUGGAGAGCAUCCUGAGCGACGAGUCGGUGCCGUGGGGGCGGCGGAUGUGUGCGGCGACGGCGGUGGAGCUGCGGAUGCUGAUCCGGCUGGCGGCGCCCGCCGUGCUGGUCUACAUGAUCAACUACCUCAUGUCCAUGUCCACGCAGAUCUUCUCCGGCCACCUCGGCACGCUCGAGCUCGCCGCCGCCUCCCUCGGCAACACCGGAAUCCAGGUCUUCGCAUACGGACUCAUGGUACGCCAAAUCACACGCGCCCUACCUUGAAUUUUAAUCUGUCGUCAGGACUGUAGGAGUAUUUUAUUAUUAGUAUAUCUCGUGGU
rnacentral:lncRNA from 1 species